rnacentral:rRNA from 1 species
AUUGAACGCUGGCGGCAUGCUUUACACAUGCAAGUCGAACGGCAGCUCGGGCUUCGGCCUGGCGGCGAGUGGCGAACGGGUGAGUAAUGCAUCGGAACGUGCCCAGUAGUGGGGGAUAGCCCGGCGAAAGCCGGAUUAAUACCGCAUACGACCUGAGGGUGAAAGCGGGGGACCGGAAGGCCUCGCGCUAUUGGAGCGGCCGAUGUCGGAUUAGCUAGUUGGUGGGGUAAAGGCUUACCAAGGCGACGAUCCGUAGCUAGUCUGAGAGGACGACCAGCCACACUGGGACUGAGACACGGCCCAGACUCCUACGGGAGGCAGCAGUGGGGAAUUUUGGACAAUGGGGGCAACCCUGAUCCAGCCAUGCCGCGUGCGGGAAGAAGGCCUUCGGGUUGUAAACCGCUUUUGUUCGGGAAGAAAUCCUCUGGGCUAAUACCCCGGGGGGAUGACGGUACCGGAAGAAUAAGCACCGGCUAACUACGUG